GGAGGGGGCGGGGGCUGUUCUGCUUAGUUUCAUCAGGUGGAGGUGACAGAGCUGAACCCAGUGGGAAUGACAAGAGCACAACUCUUUUAGCACCAGAAGGAGCUUUAAAUAACUGGAGCCCCCCACCCCUGGCUCCUGAUUGGGGGGAGGAAGCAGAGGACACGUGCAUUCAGACGCCCCCUGGGCGUUUGCGGGAGGGUGCUGGCUGGAAGGAUGGAAGUCCUGGGUGUAUGCACUCAUUCCCACGAGCUAAUUGGCUCUUUCUAAGGGAAAAUCACUGGAUGUCCCUUUUAGCAGCCGAGGGUUUUGUUGGUGGUGGGGGGAAACCUCACAAGGGGCUGUGUCUCCCCAGAUGGGCUCUGGCGGGUCUGUGGGCGGCCGCGCUUCCACCCGGCCCUGGUCACUUGGCUCUUGAAUGAAUCACGAGGGGAGAGCAAAUGGUAAACCUCCCUCUCAUUUGGAAACAUGAAUCACAGCUCAUUGUUCCCCCAGUUCUUCAGAUCUGUUAGAAGCAUUGUUUGUAAAUGAGACCGUUAUUUUUUAUUUUGCAAAAUCAGGAGAGGAGUAAACAGCUGAUCUGUUGCUUCCUUAGCAAAGGCAGGAAAUGCUGGUUCCUUGGUUUCAUCGCCGUGGGUGGGGGGUGGGGGGAGGGCCACCUGUGAAAUGUACCAGCCUGUUAAUUUCCUCCUUUGGGGUGGAGUUUGGAGGGUCAGUGUUUACAGACCUGGCUUAUUACCACAGGCGUGAACUUUGACCUAGCUGUCACACUGAGGGGUUGGGACAGGUGAACCUUUCCGUCAUCCUCCAGCGAGGCAGUCUUGUGUCCCAACACCAGUAAAAUUGUGUCCAUAGGGCUGCUCCUGAGAUUAGGUGAAAAGAUGCAGUGUGUCCCAUCUCAGGAGGGAGUGGGAGGCAGAAAAAGCCCCCCGAAUGUCCAUGCCCCACUCCCCAAGACUUGUGAACAUGAUGUGUGAUUUUGCAGCUGUGAUUGUGGUUACCACCCCCCCCCCCGAGGGGGGGCGAUUAUCCUCACAUGGGCCCCCAAAGCAGAGAAUCUUUUCUGGCUGGGAAAGGAAUCCGACUAGGAACCAUGAGAUUGCAGGUUUGAUCCCUGGUCUUGCUCAGUGGGUUAAGGACCCGGCGUUGCUGCGAGCUCUGGUGUAAUUUGCAGACCUGGUUUGGAUCCUGUGUUGCUGUGGCUGUGGUGCAGGCCAGCCGCUGUAGCUCCGAUUCGACCCCUAGCCUGGGACCCUCCCUAUGCCACUGGUGC
rnacentral:lncRNA from 1 species